UUGACAGUCCUGGAAAGGGAAGGACUGUGUUUAUCCACAGAAGAGGUCAAGCACUCGCAGCAGCAGGGCAAGCACCCAAUCACCAUGUCUUGUUGAUAUGCACCAGCCCUGACCGGGAGAAUUCUCUCCACGGCCCCUUCAGUCCUCUGUCUCU
rnacentral:sRNA from 1 species